AGCUUACGCGCACUCUCAGGUGCUGGCGGAGUGAAUGCCGCCAGGUAAACGGGAAGUCGGUGCGCGGUGUUCUGCUCAACAGCCCGCCAGUCCGACGCUGCCCCCGCAACGGUGAUCGAGACACGAACCGCCACUAUCUUCAACGGUAUGCCACUGUGCCAAUCGGCAUGGGAAGGCGGCGGUUCAGAAGCAGGUCAGGGCUAACGCCCGGCCCUUCGCUCGUCAGCCCGGAGACCGGCCCGAGAGCUCAUGCCAGG
rnacentral:ncRNA from 2 species